UUCAUGUGGAGACUGGAGCUUGGGACUCUCCGAUGGCGGACAUGUGAGGAGAUGAUCGGUUCUAGUAUCUAUCAGCAAACCUAGAAGGCUUUUAAUUACAUCCAUUAACACAGAGGGACCUUUCAAGACUGAAGAUAGAGUGUGCGCCCAGGCCAGUCAAUGAAAGAAAGAGGGCCUUCCACCUCCUCCUUGUUCCUCGGCAAGACGCAGCCAAACCAGGCUGAAAGAGAGGAUGAGGUAAAAAGAGACAGAGAGACCAAACCUGGAGACACACACGGAGAGAGAGGAUAACUUCCCCAAACACACGCACACCAACUCCAGCACGGUCCCCAUUCACUAACAGCAAGUGGAUGGGAAAGAACCUUGACAACACAAAACUCAUUUACUAAUGGACUGGUUUUGGAUUUCUCUCUUUCGGGUCCGCAUAUCGCCCCGCCUGAGCCCUCGGCCCAUCCAGAGCUCGCGGGGAGCAGCGUCCCCCAGGAGGCAGGUGGGAGGCUGCUCCGGCGCCGCGCCACCCUCGGAGCCCGGCAUCCGGAGGGGUCGAGGGCACCUGGAGUUUCCGAC